AUACUUACUUGGCUAGGAAGUUAACCGUGAUCACGAAGGCGGUUCUUCAAGAGCAAUAGCCUUCCAUUGCACUACGGUGGGCUUGACCUCUUCCUUUACUCCUAAAGUGAGUAAUUGGAUAGCGUUAUUUCUGGUAGUUGGGAUCUGCGUGCGCGCUAAUCCCUA
rnacentral:snRNA from 1 species